UCCUCAGACCGCUGAACAUCAGCCAUCAUCUGGUGGCAACAGCAUGAGACUGCCCGAAACCGAAAAGAAACAUACGAAAAAGUCAAAGCCAUUUUUGAUACGUGCUGCAACUUCUUAAGGUCUGCACCGGUGAGAUACAUGGGAGUACAAGGAACCAGAUGCCUCCAGUGCUUGCUAACUCCUUCCACGCCAUGUCCCAGGAGCCACUGUCCCUGUGAAUCAGGACAGGCGUGGAAAGCCCUUGGCUGAGCCAACUUGCUGUGAACUCUUCCCCAAGGCCCUGCAGUGAUGAAUCCACAGGCUCAUUCUGCCCGUCCCCUCGUGGCUGGCAGGAGGACGCCUUGGAUAAAGAGUCAGCUUCCAUCGCCCAUGCAGUGGAGCCAUCCAAGUCCCGUGUCUGGCUUCACCCACUACCAGGUGUCCAGCUCAUUCCGUAGACCGUCGAUACCUGAACACCUACAGAGCAGUUGUGAAGCACCAGACAGUUACUGCGCUCCAGUCUCUACUUGGAGGAAAUCACUUUUAGCGUCACAACAGCGCACUAUUCCCGGGACUCUGUGUGGACGAUCAGCCUGAAGGUGUGCAGCCCCCCGCAACCACAUCAGCCCCUUCCACACAAAGAAGGAAGAGUCCACUUUUCUCUCCAUAAUCAGAUGUUCUCAAUCGGGAACACCGAGGAAAGUGCUGUGAAAAUUUACUCAUUACCUCAAGAAUAGUUACUAUGGUUUCUUCAGUGUUGUAUACUUACGAGAGAACUACAAAGAUGCUGCCUCACAUUUUUCCAUUUCAUGUGAGCAAAUUUAAAUUUAUUAAGUGCAUCAUUAGCAUCAGUGCAGAAAUCAAGAUGCAUUUCUAACUCAACAUCAGAAGUGCACUCAGGUAGGAAGCAGUGGGUCAGGGCUCCUGGGCCAGUCGGGUGGACCCUGCCUCUACCUAGAGGUCAGCCUCUGUCCUGCCAGGGGCAAUGAGGCGGAGCACUCACUUCAAGCCUGACUGUCCCUGUGGUUGCCCAGACCCGCCCGGGCCGCCCUGCAAUUGUCCAUGCGCAGGAUCACUUUGCAGAGUUUCAGGGCUCAGGCACAGGGAGCAUUGCUGUGCCUGUCAAUCAUUUGUGCCUCCAGCUCUUGCAUUUCCUCUCUCUGCUGCCCACGAGCACCUCUUCCUAGCUCUUUCCCAUCCCCUCCUUUUCUGAUGCCCACCCUGAAGGAGCUGGUCUCCUGUGGGCAUCUGCAGUGUCCAGGAAACUUCUCUGCAGCCCUCCUCGGCCCCUUUCUAGCUAGCGUCGCCCUGGCCUCCGACCCUGGGUCUGCACCCUUGAGUCUGGGGAGCAGCCCUGAACAGCCCAGCGGGCAGCGGGGUUCGGACUCAGCAGGGCUGAGCCCACGCUGCUGGAGGAGAAGCUCCAGGAAUUGAGGAUCUGCCUGGGGCCCCCACUCGGGUGUUUCCUGCCUGGGUGGCACUGGUCAUCCUCCAGGCUGCUUUUGCUUUCAGCUCUCAAGAAGCUUCCUUUCCAUCGACUUAAGAGAAGAAGUAAGAGGAAGCAGUUUGGAAGUCAGAACAAGAGGAGGAAAUAACCAGUGUGGUGAGCCUGGCAUGAAAAGGGGAAGACAGCCUUGUGCCCGUGCUCUCCAUCACUUCACUGAUGGACUUGUUGUCCCUUGAGGAAAACGUUCCAAAAUCAUGGGGGGCCUGCUCUUGCAUGUGACCACAAAGUGGAGACAAGGGGGUGGUCGUGAGUAGACCACGGGUCAGACCCUCAGGAGCUCAGUCUCGCAUGUAAAGAUGCUGGGGCAGAGGACACAGAUUGGCCUCCCUGCCUUCCAGGCAUUUCCUUUCAGGAAAACAUCAUGGCUUCGGAUUCAGGC